CAGAGGUCCCAAGCGUUGUUCGGAUUCACUGGGCGUAAAGGGUGCGCAGGUGGGCUGGUAAGUUCGAUGUGAAAGCCCCGGGCUUAACCCGGGAAUGGCAUUGGAUACUACUGGUCUGGAGGAUCGGAGGGGGGACUGGAAUUCUUGGUGUAGCAGUGAAAUGCGUAGAUAUCAAGAGGAACACCAGUGGCGAAGGCGGGUUGCUGGGCUGAUACUGACGCUGAGGCGCGAAAGCCAGGGGAGCGAACGGG
rnacentral:rRNA from 1 species